rnacentral:rRNA from 1 species
GCUGACGACCGGCGCACGGGUGCGUAACGCGUAUACAAUCUGCCUUAUACUGGGGUAUAGCCUUUAGAAAUGAAGAUUAAUCCCCCAUAGUCUCUUAUUAUGGCAUCAUAAAAAGAGUAAAGGUUACGGUAUAAGAUGAGUAUGCGUUCUAUUAGUUUGUUGGUGAGGUAACGGCUCACCAAGACUACGAUAGAUAGGGGCCCUGAGAGGGGGAUCCCCCACACUGGUACUGAGACACGGACCAGACUCCUACGGGAGGCAGCAGUGAGGAAUAUUGGACAAUGGAGGCAACUCUGAUCCAGCCAUGCCGCGUGCAGGAAGACUGCCCUAUGGGUUGUAAACUGCUUUUAUAUAGGAAGAAACCUUGGUACGUGUACCAAGCUGACGGUACUAUAAGAAUAAGGAUCGGCUAACUCCGUGCCAGCAGCCGCGGUAAUACGGAGGAUCCAAGCGUUAUCCGGAAUCAUUGGGUUUAAAGGGUCCGUAGGUGGAUAAUUAAGUCAGAGGUGAAAUCUUGCAGCUCAACUGUAAAAUUGCCUUUGAUACUGGUUAUCUUGAGUUAUUAUGAAGUAGUUAGAAUAUGUAGUGUAGCGGUGAAAUGCAUAGAUAUUACAUAGAAUACCAAUUGCGAAGGCAGAUUACUAAUAAUCAACUGACACUGAUGGACGAAAGCGUGGGUAGCGAACAGGAUUAGAUACCCUGGUAGUCCACGCCGUAAACGAUGGUUACUAGCUGUUUGGACCUUGUGUCUGAGUGGCU